GAUGAAGAACGCAGCGAAAUGCGAUAAGUAAUGCGAAUUGCAGAAUUCAGUGAGUCAUCGAAUCUUUGAACGCGCAUUGCGCCCUGUGGUAUUCCGCAGGGCAUGCCUGUUCGAGCGUCAUUUCAACCCUCAAGCCCCGCUUGGUGUUGGGCCCCGCCCGCUGUGGCCGGCCCUAAAGACAGUGGCGGCGCCGCCUGGCCCUCAGCGUAGUACAUCUCUCGCUCCAGGGUCCGGUGGCCGCCUGCCAGAACCCCCCAACUCUGUGGUUGACCUCGGAUCAGGUAGGGAUACCCGCUGAACUUAAGCAUAUCAAUAAGCGGAGGA
rnacentral:misc_RNA from 1 species